rnacentral:rRNA from 1 species
CCCUUAGAUGUUCUGGGCCGCACGCGCGCUACACAGAUGCAUUCAACGAGUCUAAAACCUGCUCUGAUAGGGGUGGGUAAUCUUUUGAAUGUGCAUCGUGAUUGGGAUAGAUGAUUGCAAUUUUUCAUCUUCAACGAGGAAUGCCUAGUAAACGCAAGUCAUCAGCUUGCAUUGAUUACGUCCCUGCCCUUUGUACACACCGCCCGUCGCUCCUACCGAUUGAAUGAUCCGAUGAAUAUCAUGGAUUGAGGAUGCAAGUAGGUUCGCCUAUCUUCAUCUUCGAGAAGUGAAGUAAAUCUUAUCAUUUAGAGGAAGGAGAAGUCGUAACA